UCCGGAGAGGGAGCCUGAGAAAUGGCUACCACAUCCAAGGAAGGCAGCAGGCGCGUAAAUUGCCCGAAUCCUGACACAGGGUGGUAGUGACAAGAAAUAACAAUACAGGGCUCUUUCGAGUCUUGUAAUUGGAAUGAGUACAAUUUACAUCUCUUCACGAGGAUCAAUUGGAGGGCAAGUCUGGUGCCAGCAGCCGCGGUAAUUCCAGCUCCAAUAGCGUAUAUUAAAGUUGUUGCAGUUAGAACGCUCGUAGUCGGAUUUCGGGGCGGGCCGACCGGUCUGCCGAUGGGUACGCACUGGUCGGCGCGUCCUUCCUUCCGGAGACCGUGCCUACUCUUAACUGAGCGGGGGCGGGAGACGGAACGUUUACUUUGAAAAAAUCAGAGUGUUUCAAGCAGGCAGCUCGCUCUUGCAUGGAUUAGCAUGGGAUAAUGAAAUAGGACUUUGGUGCUAUUUUGUUGGUUUCGAACACCGAAGUAAUGAUGAGAAGGGACAGUCAGGGGCACUCGUAUUCCGCCGAGAGAGGUGAAAUUCUCAGACCAGCGGAAGACGAACCACUGCGAAAGCAUUUGCCAGGGAUGUUUUCACUGAUCAAGAACGAAAGUUAGGGGAUCGAAGACGAUCAGAUACCGUCGUAGUCUUAACCAUAAACCAUGCCGACUAGGGAUUGGGGGAUGUUCACAUAUUGACUCCCUCAGCACCUUACGGGAAACUAAAGUCUUUGGGUUCCGGGGGGAGUAUGGUCGCAAGGCUGAAACUUAAAGGAAUUGACGGAAAGGCACCACCAGGAGUGGAGCCUGCGGCUUAAUUUGAC
rnacentral:rRNA from 1 species